CCUACGUGUGGCAGCAGUAGGGAAUCUUCCACAAUGGGCGAAAGCCUGAUGGAGCAACGCCGCGUGGGUGAAGAAGGUCUUCGGAUCGUAAAACCCUGUUGUUAGAGAAGAACGUGCGUGAGAGUAACUGUUCACGUUUCGACGGUAUCUAACCAGAAAGCCACGGCUAACUACGUGCCAGCAGCCGCGGUAAUACGUAGGUGGCAAGCGUUAUCCGGCUUUAUUGGGCGUAAAGGGGACGCAGGCGGUCUUUUAAGUCUGAUGUGAAAUCCUUGGGCUUAACCGGAGUAGUGCAUUGGAAACUGGGAGACUAGAGUGCAAAAGAGGAGAGGGGAACUCCAUGUGUAGCGGUGAAAUGCGUAGAUAUAUGGAAGAACACCAGUGGCGAAGGCGGCUCUCUGGGCUGUAACUGACGCUGAGGUUCGAAAGCGUGGGUAGCAAACAGGAUUAGAUACCCCUGUAGUC
rnacentral:rRNA from 1 species